rnacentral:rRNA from 1 species
GGGUGAUCUGCCCUGCACUUCGGGAUAAGCCUGGGAAACUGGGUCUAAUACCGGAUAUGACCUCCUAUCGCAUGGUGGGUGGUGGAAAGAUUUAUCGGUGCAGGAUGGGCCCGCGGCCUAUCAGCUUGUUGGUGGGGUAAUGGCCUACCAAGGCGACGACGGGUAGCCGACCUGAGAGGGUGACCGGCCACACUGGGACUGAGACACGGCCCAGACUCCUACGGGAGGCAGCAGUGGGGAAUAUUGCACAAUGGGCGAAAGCCUGAUGCAGCGACGCCGCGUGAGGGAUGACGGCCUUCGGGUUGUAAACCUCUUUCAGCAGGGACGAAGCGCAAGUGACGGUACCUGCAGAAGAAGCACCGGCUAACUACGUG